GAUGAACGCUAGCGACAGGCUUAACACAUGCAAGUCGAGGGGCAGCGGGGGUAGCAAUACCCGCCGGCGACCGGCGCACGGGUGAGUAACGCGUAUGCAACUUACCUAUCAGAGGGGGAUAACCCGGCGAAAGUCGGACUAAUACCGCAUGAAGCAGGGAUCCCGCAUGGGAAUAUUUGCUAAAGAUUCAUCGCUGAUAGAUAGGCAUGCGUUCCAUUAGGCAGUUGGCGGGGUAACGGCCCACCAAACCGACGAUGGAUAGGGGUUCUGAGAGGAAGGUCCCCCACAUUGGUACUGAGACACGGACCAAACUCCUACGGGAGGCAGCAGUGAGGAAUAUUGGUCAAUGGCCGAGAGGCUGAACCAGCCAAGUCGCGUGAGGGAUGAAGGUUCUAUGGAUCGUAAACCUCUUUUAUAAGGGAAUAAAGUGCGGGACGUGUCCCGUUUUGUAUGUACCUUAUGAAUAAGGAUCGGCUAACUCCGUGCCAGCAGCCGCGGUAAUACGGAGGAUCCGAGCGUUAUCCGGAUUUAUUGGGUUUAAAGGGUGCGUAGGCGGCCUUUUAAGUCAGCGGUGAAAGUCUGUGGCUCAACCAUAGAAUUGCCGUUGAAACUGGGGGGCUUGAGUAUGUUUGAGGCAGGCGGAAUGCGUGGUGUAGCGGUGAAAUGCAUAGAUAUCACGCAGAACCCCGAUUGCGAAGGCAGCCUGCCAAGCCAUGACUGACGCUGAUGCACGAAAGCGUGGGGAUCAAACAGGAUUAGAUAUCCUGGUAGUCCACGCAGUAAACGAUGAUCACUAGCUGUUUGCGAUACACUGUAAGCGGCACAGCGAAAGCGUUAAGUGAUCCACCUGGGGAGUACGCCGGCAACGGUGAAACUCAAAGGAAUUGACGGGGGCCCGCACAAGCGGAGGAACAUGUGGUUUAAUUCGAUGAUACGCGAGGAACCUUACCCGGGUUUGAACGCAUUCGGACCGAGGUGGAAACACCUUUUCUAGCAAUAGCCGUUUGCGAGGUGCUGCAUGGUUGUCGUCAGCUCGUGCCGUGAGGUGUCGGCUUAAGUGCCAUAACGAGCGCAACCCUUGCCACUAGUUACUAACAGGUAAAGCUGAGGACUCUGGUGGGACUGCCAGCGUAAGCUGCGAGGAAGGCGGGGAUGACGUCAAAUCAGCACGGCCCUUACAUCCGGGGCGACACACGUGUUACAAUGGCGUGGACAAAGGGAAGCCACCUGGCGACAGGGAGCGAAUCCCCAAACCACGUCUCAGUUCGGAUCGGAGUCUGCAACCCGACUCCGUGAAGCUGGAUUCGCUAGUAAUCGCGCAUCAGCCAUGGCGCGGUGAAUACGUUCCCGGGCCU
rnacentral:rRNA from 1 species